GUAUUUCGAAUUAUGUAUUCAAAAAAUUUCAGACAAAAAAUUUCAAUAAAGGGUUGGUAUUAUACUGCCAAGAACGCGCAAAAACGCGAACUCGUCAGCAAACAUUGCACACAAGGUGAAUACUGAUUUUUAAAAAGUGCCAUAAAACACUUUAUUAUGAAUGAUCCUUCCGCAGGUUCACCUACGGAAA
rnacentral:misc_RNA from 1 species